CCUUUUUCCAUAUAUUGUAGCUUUUGAAUUUUAAUACCCGGUCGAAACGAUGGCAAGUGCUGCCGAUAACUGGGUCAAAAAGGCGGAAGGAGGAUCAGGAAAUUUCUGCACUCGGUUUUGAAUUUUUCUUUUCAAUACAAAUAGGUUAUCGAUCUGAGUAUCCCUAAGGAUAAGGAACCAGAGCCGACGGCUGACAGCCCAAAGAAAGAGAAUGCGGAAAAACCUUCUAGUUCACCGCCAGUAGAACCAGCGAUCAAAUUACUCCGGUAGAAACGGCUGCACUUGCAGUUUUGUUUUCGGUAGCUACAGAAAUUAAGACUUUAGCAGCUCCUGAAGAAAAAAAAGCUGCUAGCGAAAAUGGAGAAACAGCUUCCUCCACGGAAGAUGCAGAGGCAUUCAACCCGGCGGAUGCAAGUUUGCUAAUUAAACUUAUUCGCAAAGGUCUAGUAGAAUCAAAGCUGGAUCUGGGGGUGAAGGAUCCUUCUUCGCCGCUAUACUUGGUUAAAACUUUCGAAGCUUUGCACAUGAAUUCGGAACUGCUUCUAUGCUAUGGGUUUCAACGCUCCUUCCAAGAUUCAGAAGACGGCUCAACCUACUCUGUUGGCCGAUCCACCACAGAACAUAAUCGCCCAGAGUUGGUCGGGAACAAGAAAAACCACUGCCUUCGUGCUGGCAAUGCUCAAUCGAGUCAAUCCGUUGAAAAACUAUCCGCAGGUGAUUUGCCUUUCCCCACGUAUGAACUGGCAAUUCAGAAGGGGAAAGUAGCUGCAAAACGGCAAAGUUUUGUGCGGAAAUCGAACUUGGUUAAACCGUUCGCGGUGAGAAGAUCGUCAAAGGGGCGAAGCUGACUAAUCAUAUCAUCAUCGGAACAGCCGGGCGUUCGACCUUAAGAAGAUUGCCAUUUUUGUAAUGGACGAGGCGGGCGUUAUGAUCGCUGUUCUUUUUAGCAACGUACGAGCGGGAGGUGAUGGGAUUCGUCCAGUACAUCGAAACCAAUCCGAUCAUGAUUCUUCUGGUGCGGGAGCAAGAAUCACUCGAUAACACCAACCACUACUACGUCAAAUGCCGCAACCAGGACGAGAAAUAUCAAGCAAUUUCAAACAUGUACGGUGUGAUUACCGUCGGACAAGCGAUCAUUUUCUGUCAUAUGAUGUAUAGGACAGUUGUAAACUCCAAGUAAACUUAUUUUCGGCAUUGUUAAUCGAUCGAAACAGGCACGCAAAACGGCCGGUUGGUUGACCGGCAGGAUGUCCCAGGAUGGUCAUUCGGUAGCGGUACUGUCCGGUGAUCUAACGGUGGAGCAACGGUUGGAACGAACGUUUUGUCCAGGGGUAAGUUCCACCACUUGAUUCUGGCUACAGCACCAGGUUACGGAGAGAUUCUUUCGUCUUAGGUAUCGACGUCGAACAGGUUACCAUUGUCGUCAACUUCGACCUGCCGAUGGAUUAGCAGGGACGAGCCGAUUGCGAAACGUAUCUACAUCGAAUUAGACGCACCGAACGGAAUCACCAUCAACCUAGUGGGUAGUGAUCGAAGCAUGAUGAUUUGCAGAUCAAUGGAAAAACACUUCCGGAAAAAGAUUCAGUUGCUAGACGCGGAGAACUCGGACGAAAUUUAAAAGAUCGCACCGUAAAAUGUUUUCGACCAGCUACUGGUGAAAGGCGUAGGAGCUUUUUUGGGUCAUACUUGUUUUGAUUCUGAAUUUAUAAUUUUAUUAUAUUUUAAUUUUUUUUUCUUCCUUGACCUGACAUAAGGUAUACAAAUGUAACCAACAGGG